GACGAACGCUGGCGGCGUGCUUAACACAUGCAAGUCGAACGGUGAAAGCGGAGCUUGCUCCGCUGGAUCAGUGGCGAACGGGUGAGUAACACGUGGGCAACCUGCCCUUCACUUCGGGAUAACUCCGGGAAACCGGGGCUAAUACCGGAUAUGACCUCUGUGGGCAUCCGCGGAGGUGGAAAGUUUUUCGGUGAAGGAUGGGCCCGCGGCCUAUCAGCUUGUUGGUGAGGUAGUGGCUCACCAAGGCGACGACGGGUAGCCGGCCUGAGAGGGCGACCGGCCACACUGGGACUGAGACACGGCCCAGACUCCUACGGGAGGGAGCAGUGGGGAAUAUUGCGCAAUGGGCGGAAGCCUGACGCAGCAACGCCGCGUGCGGGAUGACGGCCUUCGGGUUGUAAACCGCUUUCAGCAGGGAAGAAGCCGCAAGGUGACGGUACCUGCAGAAGAAGCACCGGCUAACUACGUGCCAGCCGCCGCGGUAA
rnacentral:rRNA from 1 species